rnacentral:rRNA from 1 species
GGGGGGGGCAAGCGUUGUUCGGAAUUACUGGGCGUAAAGGGCUCGUAGGCGGCCAACUAAGUCAGACGUGAAAUCCCCAGGCUCAACCUGGGAACUGCGUCUGAUACUGGAUGGCUUGAAUUCGGGAGAGGGACGCAGAACUCCAGGUGUAGCGGUGAAAUGCGUAGAUAUCUGGAGGAAUACCGGUGGCGAAGGCGGCAUCCUGGACCGACAUUGACGCUGAGGAGCGAAAGCUAGGGGAGCAAACGGGAUUAGAUACCCCGGUAGUCCUAGCCCUAAACGAUGAAUGCUUGGUGUAACGGGUAUCGAUCCCUGUUGUGCCGAAGCUAACGCAUUAAGCAUUCCGCCUGGGGAGUACGGUCGCAAGGCUG